AACAAAUUUUAAUGCCAAAAGUGAGCGUUGAUGUUAAGUUUUGUUAUAUAGCUUGUCCUUGCUUUUACGUGUCUCUGCAAAUAGAGUGGCUGCAUAAUCUACAAAUUUCCAGGGCCAGAAAGGGUAUACUGUUGAGAGUGAGAGGAAACAGAGAGAAAUGUCCCACUCAACAGCCGCAACUUUGUGCUCAUCAAAGAGAUGCAAUUCUCGUUAGCAGAAGUACGGCUCAACUCUUGAAAAAAAGCUAAUUACUACUGGUUAAUUACCUCGAAUGAAGGGGCCUCAAAGAGUGUGCGUUUGUGUAUACUAUGUUAUGCUUGCCAACGGAUGGCAGAACGCCAUUUCAAGGCGAGUUAAAACAAGUGGAACAACUUCCCGUUUUGAGAAAGGUGGAACGCCUUAAAAGAGAUUUAUGGUUUCAAACGCCGCUAUUUCAACGGAAGAAGCUGCAUUGUGCCAUUUCCAGAGGCAUUCGCCAGGCAAAACGUCCCAAAACAUGGACAGCCCAAGAAAAUCUCAUUCCCGAGGGCUGUAAAUCCCCAUUGAACAAGAUUGAUAUGACUGGCGAUUCGAAUGCUUGAUCUUGCAUUAUGCUCGUAGGGUCGAGUAACAAUAGGUUGUUAUUCAUUUGCACUUGAAAGCAACAAUGUGGAUCUCAUCUCAUUCCGCUAUUCGCGGGCAGUGCCCGAAGAAUCACAAGAUUCCUCAUCCUUUUGACCUUUUUUGAGUGAGGUUGUACGGCCAAAGUGUUCGCGUUGUUAAUGAUAUUUAGACAGCGGAUAACGAGCUUGCCACAAUGACAUGUUUUAUUGAAAGAUGACUGGCGAGACAAUUACGAGGAAAGUAAGCAAAUCACAAACGUGACCUUUAAGACCUUACAUUUAGACACCAUCAUAUUUCAAAUCGCUCUGAACCUCUGUUUUGUUUUGCUCUGGAAAUUUUUCAGAUUUUUUAACUCGGAGGCCGCGAAUGCAUGCUUGAGUACCUCACUCACAUGGCAAAUAUAUGAUCAGAGAAUAAACCAAAACCAACGUGCUUCAGAGUCAUUGGACUCGUGUCACUUGUUUGGAAAGAAUUCAAGCCCUGAAGGAAGCGUACGAGCAUUCAAAUGAAAACGGAUCCGAGACCGCAUGCUUUACCACACUGGCCUCAUUUCCACACCAAUGAAAGUCAUCUUAGACGUGGUUGGAAUUGUUCCAACUCUUCAUGGUUCCGUGAAGAGGCCACCCUAAACCAGCUACUCAAGGCUCCUCUCUCAUGUGUGAAAAAAAAACUUAAUUUGCUGACUCAACCAGUAGUGGAGUCGGAAAAAAAGAAAUGAACCCCCCCGGGACGCUCGUUCGGACAUUCCACCGACAGAUCCUAUUUCUGAAAGUGGACGAGAGCGAAAGAGCGAGAUAAACAGACGUUCCCAAAGUGAUCCCAAAUGCUUCAUCAUCCCCCUCCUUAAAAUCAAUAAUAGCCGCUUGGCUUUGAGUAGCAUUGAUCCCUCGCUACCAGUAGGCGCAAUGACCAUGAAAAAAGGCUCCCCAUGUCGGAUCCACAAAGUCCAUCCAGGCCACAACAUCGAGCAAGACGAACAACAACAAUAACGACGGCAACAAAGGAUGCGGUGAAGAAUGAGCAAAAGAUGUACGACACGACACAGUGAGGAAAGGCCGAGAAAGGCCGAGAAAGGCCACGGGUUCCCCCUUUUUUUGCACGCUUGCCUUCUCAAGUUGCUUUAUGUUUCAAGUCUAUUUUGCAGGGAGAACAAACAAAGCUGGUUUCUUCUC